rnacentral:lncRNA from 1 species
CAAAUAUUCCCCAGAAGCCUAAUAUGUGCUCCAUGCUACCACACACAAGGGCAAAUGGAUAGAUGAAGAGGACACCCUUAUUAUCUAAGAGUGUGGGAACUGGACUGGAGCCAAAAAUCCCAACAGCUCAAACUCAGGGCUGGGUCAGAAUCAGGCGGAGAACCCGGAGUGGUGACAGUGAUGGCAGCAGAGCCAGGGUGAGACUGAGAGUGCUCAGACUAAUUUUCUUGGAAGUAGUGGAAAGCUCCGCUAAAAAAGAAACAUGGGUUUGGAUUGAGCAGAAUGUCAAGAGCCCUGAGAACCAACCAAAAAAUGGCAGAUGAGCUGUUUCAGGGGCAACAUUUAGGAAAGUGAAAUCUCUGCUUUGCUUACAAUGACGGGACUGAAAAUGGCAAUUCUGCACAGGAAAGGGACUGUGGGACUCUUCCAAGACAUUUAGGACAUCCAAGUUUCUUUGAAGGUUGGCACAUCAGUCUUUAUUCUUCCACAGGAAGCCAGCAAACUGAGAAGAUGGCAGACUGGUGUCCUAAAGGACCAUCUUCAAAGGUAUGAAUCUCAAGCUUCUUUUUAUAUUGGGUAAAGGGAACAAGGAGGGGGUUAAGGUCAGGAGGUGACAGGUGACCACAGACAUCUGGGUGUCAGCAAGAGUCUGAGGGAGUUUCAUAACUUCUUUUUCUUUGUUCAGGUCACAGCACUCCUACAAGUCUUUAGCAUAACAUUGUUCUUGGGUGUAUGCCCUUCUUAUCUCCUCAGGGGUUAGUUUGGGGAAGGCCCUAUUAUCAUCCUUGCUUUAAAGUUAAGCUAUACACUAAAUUCCUCCCAUAGUUAGCUGGGCCUACAUGCAGGAAUGAGCAAAGGCAGUUUGCUUGGGGGUUAGAAGCAAGAUGGAGUCAACUAUGCUAGAUUUCUCUCACUGCUACAGAACCCCCCUCUGUGCUAUUUUGAGCCAAACCCCCUUGUCUAGUGUGGCAAAGGCAGGGACUCUCACAUGCUAUAUUUGAGCCCCAAGUGAUACUGGUAGUCUGACUCAUCCAUUCACCCUGUCCUCUCCUGUAACCUCCAGCAGGAACCAUUUCUGGACCACAUUUGGGGCCACCAUUGCCCACUCUCCUCUCUGCUUCUCCUCCACCCACAGCUGCCUGAGCCCAUCCCUGUGACCAGUACAUUGACAGAAAUCUUGGAAACACAAACCUUUGGUUCAGGGGCUGACCCCCCACCAGUUGGAGGCUGGAGAUAACCCCAAGAGGUUGAAGCUAAAUGCUCAGGUUCUAGAAUCUGGUGUAUCUUGGCUCAACAUGUUGCCUUAGCCUUCAUAGGGGAGGCAACUUAUCUUUUCCUUCUAUCUAUCUUAGGUUCAUUGUCUGGAACCCCUGUAACAAAAGACAGAUUAAGAAGAAGAAAGCAUACUAAUUUAUUUAAUGUAAGUUAUACAUGAAAAAAAAUGAAGACCUGAAGAAGUAAUUAAACCUGGGUGGGGUUUUGCUGCUGUUUGUGGUGGUGGUGGUGAUGGUGUUUUCGAGGCAGGGUCUCGCUGUAUCGCCCAGCCUGGUCUCUCACAGGAGGGUCUUAGGCCUGCUUCAGGGGAAGGUCAGAAAAGUCUUCCUAGGUUUUAGGACCUGCUGCAGAGGGGAAAGAAGAGGAAUGGCCAGGGGAGGUCAGAGAAACCUUCCUGAACAUGCUGUUUCUCAAAUUCCUUCUGCUUAAACUGUUCGCUAUGCUAAGGUGCCAGAUUUGGGAGUAGCGUGUCCUGAAGACCAUCAACUUUGCAGGUGGUUUGAUGUGGUUACAAGUGCUUAAAAAUGCCCUCUGUUGCCUCAUCUUUGAAAUGGGAUAACAGUGAUACUAAUAGCUCCUGUCCAACAGAGGCAUUCAGUGCCUGGCAUGUCAUUAGUAUUAUAUAUACAUAACAAAUAAUAUCCUGUCUGUUUCUUUGAGGAGUUUCAGACACACUAUCAAGAAAGCCUGCUGUGUUGAAGUGUAAGAGUGCAGCCCCGCUUACAGCGCUUCUUGGUUAGAAAGGCCCAGGCUAGGCUGGGCAUGGUAGCUCAUGCCUGUAAUCCUGGCACUUUGGGAGGCCGAGGCAGGUGGAUCACUUGA